AUUACGGGAUUGGCUUGGAUUCUGUCGGAUGGACUUGGGGCUAGCUGCGGCGGGACUGGAAAAAUUUACUUGAGCUUCAGUUUUUCCUGUUAAGUCGAGAUGAUCCGACUUCAGUGGGGUAUCAUGCGGGUAUAAAUGAAAACAUCUAUAGGAGGCCAGAUAACCAUGUCAGCCACAGUUGUAGAUGCAGUUAAUGCUGCACCCCUGUCGGGGUCCAAAGAAAUGAGUUUGGAAGAACCAAAGAAGAUGACCAGAGAGGACUGGAGAAAGAAGAAGGAGCUAGAAGAACAGCGAAAAUUGGGCAAUGCUCCUGCAGAAGUUGAUGAAGAAGGAAAAGACAUCAACCCCCAUAUUCCUCAGUAUAUUUCUUCAGUGCCAUGGUAUAUUGAUCCUUCAAAAAGACCUACUUUAAAACACCAGAGACCACAACCAGAAAAACAAAAGCAGUUCAGCUCAUCUGGAGAAUGGUACAAGAGGGGUGUAAAAGAGGUAUGUAGGCAACCUGUAUACAUCUUCAUGGAUAUGGAGAGUUUAAGAACUUAAUGUAAGAAUUUUUAAUGCAAUACUAUUUAAAGUAGAAACAGAUAAUAAAACCCUUUAUCUGGUAUUGAAAUUCACAGUGCAUUACUAUUUUAUCUUUGUGUUUCUUAUAUAAAUUUUACACUCCUGAACUCUUUAAAGUUUCACAUUU
rnacentral:sRNA from 1 species